rnacentral:rRNA from 1 species
CCUACGGGUGGCUGCAGUGGGGAAUAUUGGACAAUGGGGGCAACCCUGAUCCAGCCAUGCCGCGUGUGUGAAGAAGGCCCUCGGGUUGUAAAGCACUUUCAGUGAGGAAGAACGCCUGGUGGUUAAUACCCAUCAGGAAAGACAUCACUCACAGAAGAAGCACCGGCUAACUCCGUGCCAGCAGCCGCGGUAAUACGGAGGGUGCGAGCGUUAAUCGGAAUUACUGGGCGUAAAGCGCGCGUAGGUGUCUUGAUAAGCCGGUUGUGAAAGCCCCGGGCUCAACCUGGGAACGGCAUCCGGAACUGUCAAGCUAGAGUGCAGGAGAGGAAGGUAGAAUUCCCGGUGUAGCGGUGAAAUGCGUAGAGAUCGGGAGGAAUACCAGUGGCGAAGGCGGCCUUCUGGACUGACACUGACACUGAGGUGCGAAAGCGUGGGUAGCAAACAGGAUUAGAUACCCGUGUAGUC